rnacentral:misc_RNA from 1 species
AAGUCGUAACAAGGUUUCCGUAGGUGAACCUGCGGAAGGAUCAUUAACACUUUGUUAUACCCAAUACCAACCAACUGUGAACUGUAUCGUCCCUAUUCACGGUGAGAGCGCGACUGACUUCGGUCAUUUGCAAUCGAAUCGUGCGAUAGACAAUACCCCUCCUAGUAGUCAUCAGACGGCUAGCACUUCGGUGUAAGUCGCCUCGAUGAUGAACGUAUUCACCUUAAUCACCCUAUAUAUUGUACCUGACUAAUCUUCAUAAACUUGACGACUGCUCUCGAGCGGACGCUAAGCUUUACGAAAUAUCGAACAACUCUUAGCAAUGGAUAUCUUGGGUCAU